rnacentral:rRNA from 1 species
UACGAAGGGGGCUAGCGUUGUUCGGAAUCACUGGGCGUAAAGGGCGCGUAGGCGGCUUUAUAAGUCGGGGGUGAAAGCCUGUGGCUCAACCACAGAAUUGCCUUCGAUACUGUAGAGCUUGAGACCGGAAGAGGUAAGUGGAACUCCGAGUGUAGAGGUGAAAUUCGUAGAUAUUCGGAAGAACACCAGUGGCGAAGGCGGCUCACUGGUCCGGUACUGACGCUGAGGUGCGAAAGCGUGGGGAGCAAACAGG